rnacentral:lncRNA from 1 species
UUUAUUAUAUAUAAAUUCUUUAAGUUUUUUAAAAUAAAAUAUAUAUUUUCGAAAUUAUAUAAAAAGUUUUAUACGUCAUAAUAGUUAACAAUUCAAAAAUAUUUAACUACUAUUUAUAAAAGCAUCUCAUUAAGGGAAGAGUUGUAAGCUUAAGCUAAAUUGUUACCAAAUUUAGAAAUGAUUGAUUCUUUUUGUAACAGACCAAAAAGGAAAUAUGUUCACAUAAACUGAAACAGAUGGGGUAAUUUUCAUUGAAAAUUAGUGGAUAUUAAUAUGUUCUACACGUAUAAAAAAUAUUGAAUUCAGGUACUCCAUUUCAAUUUUGGAACCUUUUUGGACUACGAGGUUUUAAUUGACC